UUGUUUGCGGAUGGAGCAUCAUCAAGAUUCACGUAUCAUUCUUAGGGCAAUCGAAAAUUAAUGGUGAAGAUCAUCCUUUUUGCUUCGCUAUACAUGUACCAAUUAGUCCUUUGAAUAUAUAUGAGAAUCUUGAUGAUGCUGCAGCGGCAAUAAA
rfam:Gossypium hirsutum cultivar TM-1 chromosome 23, whole genome shotgun sequence